AACGCACAUUGCACUCUCUGGUAUUCCGGAGAGUAUGCUUGUUUGAGUAUCAGUAAACACCUCAAAUCUCUUUUUUUUAUUAAAAAGAGAAUUGGACUUGAGCAAUCCCAACUUUUUCUUUCGAGAAAGGCGGGUUGCUUGAAAUGCAGGUGCAGCUGGACAUUCUUCUGAGCUAAAAGCAUAUUUAUUUAGUCCCGUCAAACGGAUUAUUACUUUUGCUCUAGCUAAUAUAAAGGUCGAAUGUACUAUAUGCUGACUGAUGCAGGAUUACCAAGUUUUUUUUAAAAACUUGUAAACUCGAUCUCAAAUCAAGUAAGACUACCCGCUGAACUUAA
rnacentral:misc_RNA from 1 species